rnacentral:rRNA from 1 species
AGUGAACGCUGGCGGUAGGCCUAACACAUGCAAGUCGAACGGCAGCACAGUAAGAGCUUGCUCUUACGGGUGGCGAGUGGCGGACGGGUGAGGAAUACAUCGGAAUCUACUUUUUCGUGGGGGAUAACGUAGGGAAACUUACGCUAAUACCGCAUACGACCUACGGGUUAAAGCAGUGGAUCUUCGGACCUUGCGCGAUUGAAUUAGCCGAUGUCGGAUUAGCUAGUUGGCGGGGUAAAGGCCCACCAAGGCGACGAUCCGUAGCUGGUCUGAGAGGAUGAUCAGCCACACUGGAACUGAGACACGGUCCAGACUCCUACGGGAGGCAGCAGUAGGGAAUAUUGGACAAUGGGCGAAAGCCUGAUCCAGCAAUACCGCGUGGGUGAAGAAGGCCUUCGGGUUGUAAAGCCCUGUUAUUGAGAAAGAAAAGCAGAGGGUUAAUACCACGAUGUUCUGACGGUACCCAAAGAAUAAGCACCGGCUAACUUCGUG